rnacentral:tRNA from 1 species
UAGAUUGAGGCUCGCUGGAUAGAGUGUUUAGCUGUUAACUAAAAGGUCGUGGGAUAAAUGCCUGCCAAUCUAA